UUGUUAUUGUUGUUUUUGUCGGAGUUCGAAGGAAUGGGGGAUUUUGAAUAAAUCUUUCUGAAAGCUUUUCGAGGAAAGAAGAACAAGAAAGAGUUUGAGUUGGAAAUCAAGAUGGCAAGACACAUAAGUAUAUUGAAGACCACAGAGGAACCUACAGUUGAGUUUGGUGCUCAGGAGUUUGCUUGUCUAUUUUGCUAUAAAAGAUCAGAUUAUGCAGGCAUCAUCAGCCACUUACAGAGCCACAAAAGGACAGUAGUGGUUCAUGGAGGGAUGUGAAGCUCUCUAGAAUAUAUCUUGUAAUUUGUAAAAUUUGAUGAAUUGACACUUUUAAUACAAUUUACUGCAGCUAGAUAUUCACCUUAACAACAUGAUUUUAUUUGACAAAAUAGUAUACUGUGUACUUUUUCACCUUUUGAAAAGCUAGCUUUGAAUAAUUUUAGAUUAAUUAAUUCAUGACUGUGUAUUAACAAUUUUCUCUUUUAAAAUAUUUAGUAGAAUAUGACAACGGUCAUAGUACAAAUACUCUAAUGUUUCAGAAUGUAAGUGUGGAAUUACAUUACCUACAAUUGACAGGCAACUACUGUAUAGUAUAUUUUCAUAAAUUUUUAAAAGCAUCAUUGACUGAAUCUUUAAUUAGUUUGUUCUGUUUAAAAGAAUAAUAGAACAGGAUUUGCAUGUUUUAACUUUAUUAAAUAUAAGGAUUAUCUGAAUUUCUUUUGAACAGUUUUAAAUGUUAAGCAAAAUAAUUCUGAAUAUUAACCUUUUUUUUUUCUUUGUACUGUUUCAGGUUUCAAAAUAUUCAAGUGUUCACUGAACUGCCAGGGAUCAGGCCACUACCAUUGCUGUUAUUGCCAGAAAACAGUAGUUUGUAAAGAUCAGUUCCUCAGGCACUUGUCAGAGUGUGGCAAAGGUCCUAAAGUGCUCUCUUUGACCCUCUUGCCCACGGCACCGGUCGCCACCCAGUCUCUGCCCUCCGUGCCCACGGCACCGGUUGCUGCCCAGCCUCUGCCCUCUGAAUUCCAUAAGAUGGUCCAAGCCAAGAUCAGAAAGGUAAAAUGUUCUCUUUGUAACCUCAGACUGAACAAAAAGAACCUUUGAGUGCACAUGAAGAGAAAACACUCAAGCUGUAAGCAAGGGAUUAGUACAGAACAUCAUCUUAAAUCCAUGUGCAUUAACAAGGCUAGAGGAAUAUUUGCUGUUGC